AGAGACAGGCAAAUCUCUGUGAGAUUGAGGCCAGCCUGGUUUAUAUAGUGAGUUCUAGGACAGACACGGAGAAACCCUGUCUCAAAAA
rnacentral:miRNA from 1 species